rnacentral:lncRNA from 1 species
GAUCAAGCUUCCACGAGUAAUGCAUCCAAGGAUUCUCGCUUCCAAUCCGGCACCCAAAGAAGGAAAUCCCAGCAUCCGUUUCUCCUUCCGUCGAUCCCACAGCACCCGUUCCACAACGCAUCUCAACCUCCCAUCUCAUCUUCUUCCGUUCGCACGUCAACCUCCCGGAAUCCCAGCAGCCAGCUCCCUUGAUCCGGCCAUCUGCAAUCAAUCCGG